UUUAGAGCGCGACAAAUGAAGAUUAAGCGGCUUUUGUUAGUGAGUUUGCAUUUGUCAAACUAACGUGUUAUCAAUUUAACAUCUCCUUACAAUGGCUUAAACAAACCUAAAAUCAACAGGAAGAUCGAAGAAACAAGACCAAAAAGCACCUGACAGAAGAAAGAAAAUCAGAUGGACUCAGAAUGACAUAAGCAGGAAUUACUGUGUGUCCGGCUGAAGGAGAGGUGUCAAACAUCCUUGACCUGAGUGGAGGAGUGUAGGGGGAGUGUGAUGAUGGCCCGCUCAGGCUUGAGUGAAGGCCUUGUUAAAUGGGCCGGCAUCAAGGGUAGCACACCCGCCACUGGAGGAUGGACGCCGCGUCAAUCCCACACCAUUCUGCAGAUCUCUCAGGGCAAUCAGCGAUACCUGAUGCAAAGCAAUCAGAAACAAAAUGAAACCCUGUUUGCGUGUAUUUUUUCAUCAAUUUAAAUCAGCAGAUUCAUUUUCCCUUCCUAUUUGCUGAACCUGCAUGAUUGAAAGGCAGUGGUUUUCUCCUCUCUCCACGUGAGGUUAAACAGAUUUUGAGAUAGUUGUCUGCUAGACUGGCUUCCUGGGUAUGUUUGUAUUCCAUUAGCCGGAUCCAGAGCUCUGCAUGUAGCUGCUGCAGUUGCUGAAGUAUCUAAGACGGCCUUAACCUCUUUCCUCACCCUUUCUCUAUUAUGCAAAUUUGUCCGGGCUCUAUGGAUACGGAGUCUGAUCAGGGAGUAAUUUUCUCUGGCCCUCUCUAGUGUUUUCAUUGAAACAAAUAGCCACUGCUGGCGUAAUGGAAAACCGGUGGUUGCAUAAUGCUGUUAAGAGAUGCAUUGCUAACAAUAUCAUAUGUCAAGGUCUGUGAGGGUGUUUUUUCUGUUUUAUUGUCUGAAGAUGCUAUAAGACUUUGUAUAAAAUGCUUAACCCUCUGUCAUUGUCUUGGAAAUGGUUUCCUAUCUGCUUCGUAAGCACAAUACAGAUGUAUGCAGUUCUCGGUCACAGGCACAAUGAUGUGCGAUGAAAUACUAUGCACACAAGACGAU